UACGUAGGGUGCAAGCGUUGUCCGGAAUUAUUGGGCGUAAAGAGCUCGUAGGCGGUCUGUCGCGUCUGGUGUGAAAACUCAGGGCUUAACCCUGAGCUUGCAUCGGGUACGGGCAGACUAGAGUGUGCUAGGGGAGACUGGAAUUCCUGGUGUAGCGGUGAAAUGCGCAGAUAUCAGGAGGAACACCGAUGGCGAAGGCAGCUCGCUGGGACGGUACUGACGCUGAGGCGCGGAAGCGUGGGGAGCAAACAGG
rnacentral:rRNA from 1 species